GUAAAACGGGAAGGCUGGGCUGCCCGUGCUCUGCAAAGUGCUCUCCGUGCUGCUGCCCUGCCACCCCUGCUGGUGACGUGCAUGCGUGUUUUGGCCAGCGUCCUCCACAGAGCCUCGUGAUCCCAGCUGGCUGGAGGCCGAGGAGGUACUGGGAGAAUUCUUUUGCCUUCUGGGGAGAGAAGAUUCCGUGCCUGUCGCAGAUUCUGAAGAGGGGGACACUCUCCUCAACUCUUACCCUGCACCCCCUCCUGCCCACUUCCCUCCACCCCAGAUCCCAGUUCAGCUCACUGGGUAUGGCUCCAGCGCUGAUCUGGUGGUUUCCAAGCUUACUGUUAAAGGUCAAAACUACAGUGGAAAAGAGCGGGGUCUCGGUUCUGGACCCUCCCUACUGGGAUGAAGAAGCAAAGGCCUGGGGCUGGGAGCUGGCCUUGGUCCCCUGACCGUCCAGGUGAAGAGACAGAGCCCUACCGGGGACAGCUGCCACCUUCCUUGGCCCUAGCCUUGCGUGCUUCCAGGCUCUCAUCUCCCCUUCCCUCCUUUCCAUCCCAUUUCACUGUCAAGGAGACCAAGCUCUCUACAGUGGGCCUCUGCUCAGCAGGACACACACCCUCCCUGCUCACUGAGCAACACACACUUACCUGUCUGGGUGCUUCGGGUAGGAAUUGAGAUGCCUACAGGCUCCAGAAACUCCAGACAGGAGCAGCUUCAACAAGACAGGAGUUGAUUUUUCUCUUCUGUAGCAAGAAGCUCAAGGGGAGAGAGUCGUCGUGGGGUGGAAGGGCAGCUCAAGGGCAUGAGGUCUAAGGUCUUCGCAGUGCUCCUGACCUUGACCUUGUAGCGUGCUGCAAGAUGUCUGUUCCAGCCCCAGGCACUGAGUUUUUGAUUCAGACAGUAAGGAGGGGAGAAGUGGAGGCGAAGAGCACGAGAGCCGCAUGAGUGAAUGGGGAGAGUUUCCCGGAGCUCGCGUGAAUACUGAAAUCCAUGCCUGCUAGGUCCCUUGUAUAAAACGGCAUAGUUGCUGUGUAUUCCCUAUACACCCCUCGUAGCCACUUGAAAUCAUCUCUAGAUUCCAGAAAAUACCUAAUCCGAUUCAAGUGCUAUUAAAAUAGCAGUGCUGGAUGGUUUAGGAAUCAUGACGGGAAAAGAAAGUCUGCACACGGCCAGGCAUUUUACAGUCACUGUUGGCUGAAUCCAUAGAUAUAGAAGCCCCUGACACGGAGGGACAGUUGAUUCUUUUUAAAAAAUGUGAUUUUCAUUAGUACAUUGUGUAAUACGUAAUGAUUGCAUUCAUGGUGGGUAGCUGGUACACAGGUGUAACAUGUCUUUUGCAAAUGGGAAGGAGGCCAAGAGAUGGAGGGAGCGGAAGGAGGGGAGGGGAAGAGUUGUAAACAGAAUGAGGGCAUGCUAUGUACAGAUACUGGCCGCGUCUUCUAAGGAGUUUCCCUGCGAGGUCAUCCAGCCGCUGCUACUCACAGCUCCUGGUGAUGCGUGACUGCCUCUUUCGGCAAGGAAUCUGAGAAAUGGGUUCUUUCUAACUAGACAGCACGGUUCUGUUAAAUAAGCAUGGAUUGCAUUUGUUUUCUUGGGCAACCGUAACUAACUACCACAAACUGGAUGGCUUAAGUCAGUAGAAAUGUAUUCUCUCUGAGCUCUGAAAUCGAAGUGUUGACAGGACCCCAUUCCCUGCGGAAAGCUGCGGGAAGGAUCUGCCCCACGCCUACUCCCCAGUGUUUUGGGGUCAACGCCAUGCCUGGUGUUCCCCGAGUUCUGAGCGCCUCCUGCCAGCUCUGCAUCCAUCGUCAUCACAUCCUUCUCCUUGGUGUGUGUCUGUCUCAUAAUAAAAUCAUUUGUACUGAA